rnacentral:rRNA from 1 species
GACGAACGCUGGCGGCGUGCCUAAUACAUGCAAGUAGAACGCACAGUUUAUACCGUAGCUUGCUACACCAUAGACUGUGAGUUGCGAACGGGUGAGUAACGCGUAGGUAACCUGCCUGGUAGCGGGGGAUAACUAUUGGAAACGAUAGCUAAUACCGCAUAAUAUUAAUUAUUGCAUGAUAAUUAAUUGAAAGGUGCAAUUGCACCACUACCAGAUGGACCUGCGUUGUAUUAGCUAGUAGGUGAGGUAACGGCUCACCUAGGCGACGAUACAUAGCCGACCUGAGAGGGUGAUCGGCCACACUGGGACUGAGACACGGCCCAGACUCCUACGGGAGGCAGCAGUAGGGAAUCUUCGGCAAUGGACGAAAGUCUGACCGAGCAACGCCGCGUGAGUGAAGAAGGGUGUCGGAUCGUAAAGCUCUGUUGUAAGAGAAGAACGGGUGUGAGAGUGGAAAGUUCACACUGUGACGGUAUCUGACCAGAAAGGGACGGCUAACUACGUG